UAGAUGUAAUCUGGGGUGCAAUCUCUAUCUCUGGAACAUGCAUGGUCAUUUUUACCCCUGCACUUGAAUUGUGGGUGCAAAUGUGAGUACUUGCACAUCUGAUCCAUUGGAGGUACAGGAAAAUGCCUAGUGGUAAUACUUUCCCUUGAAGUUGUACCACAAUACUUGUGAUUUGCAGUUUCUGUUACCACAACUUUUCUUUUAAAGUUUGCUGGGAGGGCAACCACCAGCUGUGUCCCGCGGUGUGUCUCUUUGGGGAUCCACCCCUCCUCCUCUGAGCUCCACUCUCUCCGGCGUUGUGAGAAGUCUUGAGGGCAACCGCUAGCCAUGUCCUGCUGUGUGUCUCUUUGGGGAUCCACCCCUCCUCCUCUGAGCUCCGCUCUCUCCGGCAUCAUGAGAAAUCUUGAGGAAAUUGAAAGCACCCAUUAAACAGUCACUGAGAUCCACGCAUCAUGAUCCUAUUUGUUAGCCCUAUUACUGUCCGAGCCCCCAAGGUCUGGAAUAUACUACUGCCGGAGGUGGUUCAAGCACCUACUUUGAAAGCCUUCAAGAGAAAUGUGGAUGUUUAUCUUGCUGAGAUCCUAUGACCCCAGCUGACUUCCUGCCCCUGGGACAGGGGGCUGGACUCGAUGAUCUUCCGAGGUCCCUUCCAGCCUUAAUGUCUAUGAAAUCAUUUAUGUACAGAGAUAGGCAAUGACAGUACACACUUCCCCUCUUUCUUCUGCCUAUAUAUAUCCAUUUGGACCCAGAUAGACUUCCUGUACAAUGAGCUGGUGGUGAGGAAGACUUGGCUGACCUCAGAAUUUGGGGAUUUUUUUGUUUUUAAAUGAAGUCCUUAGAUCAAAUAUGUAAGUAUGGUUGCCCUUUCAUAUCACUCCUACACAGCAACUUUAAAGUUGAUUUCUUUAGUUGAACUGCAAAGCAGUCUUCAGUGAAUUAGGUCUCCUGUUUUCUAAGGGUGACGUAUAUGCCUGGGUGAACCCUGUAUGCUAAAACUUCUGAGGAGCUAUUUUUUUCUGUUAUCUUUUAGCUAUAUUUUUACAUCAUGCUAUGCUUAUAACCAGAAGUAUUCUAUCUCCCUCGCUGCAGUUAAGACUUUGAUGAAAACAUUAUAUUUUAUGAAAGCUUUUUAGAAAAUACAGUAAGGUUAAUCCAAGGACUUAAUCAGUGAUGCCAAGGCUUGUGAUACACUGGUUACUGCAUUUGAGAUGACAAAUGGAUAUACAUAAAUCUACAAAUAUAGCCAUACAGUCACUUUUGCAAUAUCCAUUAACCUUGGAGACAGCAUAUGUCUCUGGCAAUCCAGACAAAUUCACAAAAUGCCGUCUAGACAAACAAGUCUUUCAUCUUAAAUAUCUUUUCAAUCACAGCUCCUUUAAGCAUGUGGUACUGUACAUGUUGGGCUCAAGUCUAUGUAUCCUGAGAUGGGACCAUGUGCUUAAGAGUACACAUCAUUCAUCACACUUAUGCUGCUCACCUCUAGAAAUCCCUCCAGCUGCUCUUGUUCAGAAUAGGGCUGACAAACAGGACUAACAAAGUUAAUAUAACAAUUGACAGCUGAAUCAGAAAUUAUUAUUCAGCCUCAAAGGAUACUUUAAUUCACUAGGUUGAUUUUUGUGGGCUUAUGUUGGGACCUGCAUGGCUGGGAUAAUUUGAAAUAACAUGAUUUGUUGGUUAUCUUUAUACAAUAAAAUCUAUGGAUGCUAUUCUAAAUGCAUCUGCCUCCAAUAUGUGGACCUGUAAGUUGUCCUUUCAGAGUACAUGUUCCUGAAAGUUUGUGGAGCACUCUUUGGCGUCCAGAUGAGAUGAAGGUGUGAUAGUUCAUGAUACAUGCUGUCUUUCUAACUGUUCAUGUGACUGCUGAAGAUACUUGUUAGGGAUGUGCGAAGCUUCAGUUGCUGAUUUGAUUCGGAGGAAAGUCGGCCUGAUUUGGCAGCUGAAUCUCUGAAUCUGAAUUGAAUCAGGAGACCCUUUAAUCUCUCCGAAUCAAAUCAGAAGCCUCUGAAUCAAUCUGGAGAGAUUCAGAGAGAUUCAAUGAUUCUGCCAUAGACACAAUUUU